rnacentral:miRNA from 1 species
GGGAUUACCUGGGUGUGUCUAAGGUGUUUUUUUUCUUUUCUUUUUCUAAACACCUUAGACACACCCAGGUAAUCCCUA